rnacentral:lncRNA from 1 species
GAGUUUGCUCUAAAUCCGAUAAAAACAGGGUCCUCACGUGUUGAUAAUAUGUACCAGGGGAAGAGCACCUCGCUUUUUGCAGAUUCUGUUCCGAGCACCCCUGCAUAUGAUCAGGGGAGAAGCUUGUUUGCAGAUUCUGUUCCCAGCACCCCUGCAUAUAACCAGGGAAAGAGCACAUUUAUGUUUGCAGAUUCUGUUCCCAGCACCCCAGCCUCUAACCAGGGGAAGAGCUCCUUUGGCUUUGCAGAUUCUGUUCCCAGCACCCCAGCCUAUAACCAGGGGAAGAGCUCCUUUGGAUUUGCAGAUUCUGUUCCCAGCACCCCAGCCUAUAACCAGGGAAGGAGCUCAUUUGGCUUUGCAGAUUCUGUUCCCGGCACCCCUGCCUAUAAUUUUGGGAAUUCUCCACGAAAGUUUAACGAAGGGUCGGAGGACCACUCCUUUGACAGCUUCUCUAGGUUUGAUUCAUUUAAUAUGCACGACAGUGGAUUAUUUCAAUCCCCACGCCAUUCUCUUGGAAGAUUUGAUUCCAU